AUUAAACGCUGGCGGCAUGCCUUACACAUGCAAGUCGAACGGCAGCACGGGGGCAACCCUGGUGGCGAGUGGCGGACGGGUGAGUAAAGCAUCGGAACGUAUCCUGGAGUGGGGGAUAACGUAGCGAAAGUUACGCUAAUACCGCAUAUUCUGUGAGCAGGAAAGCAGGGGAUCGCAAGACCUUGCGCUCUGGGAGCGGCCGAUGUCGGAUUAGCUAGUUGGUGGGGUAAAGGCCUACCAAGGCGACGAUCCGUAGCGGGUCUGAGAGGAUGAUCCGCCACACUGGGACUGAGACACGGCCCAGACUCCUACGGGAGGCAGCAGUGGGGAAUUUUGGACAAUGGGCGCAAGCCUGAUCCAGCCAUGCCGCGUGAGUGAAGAAGGCCUUCGGUUGUAAG
rnacentral:rRNA from 1 species